GAUGAAGAACGUAGCGAAAUGCGAUAAGUAAUGUGAAUUGCAGAAUUCAGUGAAUCAUCGAAUCUUUGAACGCACAUUGCGCCCGCCAGUAUUCUGGCGGGCAUGCCUGUUCGAGCGUCAUUUCAACCCUCAAGCCCAGCUUGGUGUUGGGGAUCGGCACAGGCGCCCUCGGGCGCCCGCCGUCCCCUAAAUCUAGUGGCGGUCCCGCUGCAGCCUCCUCUGCGUAGUAGUUUUCUCCUCGCAAGGGCAGCUCGGUGGCGACCUCGCCGUAAAACCCCCAACUUCUGAAAGGUUAACCUCGAAUCAGGUAGGAAUACCCGCUGAACUUAAGCAUAUCAAUAAGCGGAGGA
rnacentral:misc_RNA from 1 species